AGACGUAGGGGGCGAGCGUUGUCCGGAAUUACUGGGCGUAAAGAGCACGUAGGCGGAUAUUUAAGUCAGGUGUGAAAGACCGCAGCUCAACUGCGGGGUUGCACCUGAAACUGGGUAUCUUGAGGGCAGGAGAGGGAAGUGGAAUUCCUGGUGUAGCGGUGAAAUGCGUAGAAAUCAGGAGGAACACCAGUGGCGAAGGCGACUUUCUGGACGGCAACUGACGCUGAGACGCGAAAGCGUGGGGAGC
rnacentral:rRNA from 1 species